rnacentral:rRNA from 1 species
AACGAACGCUGGCGGCAUGCCUAACACAUGCAAGUCGAACGAGACCUUCGGGUCUAGUGGCGCACGGGUGCGUAACGCGUGGGAAUCUGCCCUUAGGUACGGAAUAACUCAGGGAAACUUGAGCUAAUACCGUAUAAUGACUCCGGUCCAAAGAUUUAUCGCCUAAGGAUGAGCCCGCGUCGGAUUAGCUAGUUGGUGAGGUAAAAGCUCACCAAGGCGACGAUCCGUAGCGGUCUGAGAGGAUGAUCAGCCACACUGGGACUGAGACACGGCCCAGACUCCUACGGGAGGCAGCAGUGGGGAAGUAUUGGACAAUGGGCGGAAAGCCUGAUCCAGCAAUGCCGCGUGAGUGAUGAAGGCCUUAGGGUUGUAAAGCUCUUUUACCCGGGUAA